rnacentral:rRNA from 1 species
AACGAACGCUGGCGGCGUGCCUAACACAUGCAAGUCGAGCGAGAAAGCUCCUUCGGGAGUGAGUAGAGCGGCGCACGGGUGAGUAACACGUGGGUAAUCUGCCCUUAGGUUUGGGAUAACCCGAGGAAACUCGGGCUAAUACCGAAUGAGACCACGGUUCAUGGGAAUUGUGGGAAAAGCGGGGGACUUCUUCGGAAGCCUCGCGCCAAAGGAUGAGCCCGCGGCCCAUCAGGUAGUUGGUAGGGUAAUGGCCUACCAAGCCUAAGACGGGUAGCUGGUCUGAGAGGAUGAUCAGUCACACUGGAACUGAGACACGGUCCAGACUCCUACGGGUGGCUG